ensembl:lncRNA
AGCCCAAACCCCCAAAGUGACUGUAUUUGGAGACGGGGCUUUUUGGAGGAAAUGAAGGUUAAAUGAGGUCAUAAGGGUGGAGCUCCAAUCCGAUAGGACCGUGGGCCUAUAGAAGAGGAAGGUCUCAAUUCUCUCCCUCUCUCUCUCUCUGCUCUGUGAGGACGCAGCAAGGGCUACCAUCUGCAAGCCAGGAAGACAGCGCUCACCAGGAUCCAAAUCAGCCAGCACCUUGAUCUUGGACUUCCUAGCCUCCGGAACGGACCCUGAGAUAAAUCUGAAUACAAAUUUUAAAGGCUACAAAUUGAAAUGAGAAUUCUUUUUACUGGUGGAUUUACUUGCUGUUCAAGGCUUGGGCACAUUUUGUGCACCUGGGGCUCCAAGGUCUAUGUGGCCAACUUCAGUGAAAUGCAAGGAAGUAGAUAAAAGAGAAAAAGACUGCGACAACGAAUAGCUGAAAGACAAGUUUCCCAAGUUCCAUCAGGAAUUAAAACAACCCCCCCAACGGCUCCUGAAAGUGCUAGCCCAGGGCCAGUAACCACAGCAACUCUGGGGACCACCGAAAGCUCUAACUGAUUCGAAGCAUGGAUUGGAUGAGAGUGCAUUUUCAUUUUGUGUAGUCUUACCAUACAGUAUACGUCAGGUCAAACCACGUGAAAUUGCCAAUAUUCAACCAGUUUUGGCCAUCAUAUAUUUCAACCUAAUAUCAAGACUGCUUCCCAAGGCCACCUCAUUUCGAACCCUGCCCCUAGUACAAAUCAAGAACAUUAUUCAAUAGACAUAAUUAAAAGUGCAAAUCUGAUAUGAAAAGUCUAUUAUAAUACAUGCUAAAGCAUGUAAAAAAUUGAGUCUACUGUGGCUGCCACCAGCAUCCACAAUUCUGAGUUAACUAGUCCAGAUAAAUAAACUGCCUUGGCAUUAUUUUUCUGAGAAAUAGAAGAAGGCCAAGCCCUAUUUGGAAAUAUAUCAGUAGCCUUAAAGGGAUUAAAAAUAUAUAAUUUCCCUGGAUUUAUACUAUCUUAGAGGAGUGAUUCUUUAAGACAAGGUUUCUCAACCUUGGUACUAUGGGCAUUUUGGACCAGAUAAUCCUUUGUCCUGUGCAUUGUAGGAUGCUUAACAGCAUCCCUGGACUCUAUCCGCUCGAUGCCAAUAGCAAGCCCGCCUCCAGAAGGACAACCAAAAAUGUCUACACAUAUUGCCAAAUGUCGGGGGUAGGGGGCAAAAUUGUCCCCAGUAUUUUCUCCAAGGUUUUUGGUUAGGGUUGCCAGAUUUAGCAAAUUAAAAAUAGAGGAUGCCCAUUUAAAUGUGAAUUUCAGACAAACAACAAAAUAAUUUUUUAGUAUAAACACGUCCCAAAUAUUGCACAGUGUUUAAUCUGUCAACCUUAUUUCCAGUGAAGUACUAACAUCAUAAAUAAAUAAAUUCCUAUUUCAUGACAGGGGAUUAAAUAGUUAGAACGACAAAGAUAACCGAGCUCACAGUCAGCAGCUUAUAGUGAAAACAGUACAUACUUUGGAGCCAGGCAGCUCAGAGUUGGAACCUGACAAUGUCAUUUUUGAAGGUGUGACCUUGGGCAAGUUAACUUCUCUGAGCCUCCACGUCCCCUUUUAUUAAAAAAAAAAAGUCACGGGUGGCAGAGAGGAUUAUAAUUCUGUUACUGAGUAGUUAUGUGAGUCGUAUGAUAAAGCGAGGUAGCUCUUUAAAGAUGAAGUGAAUAAUACAUAAGGUUUCGAGCACUCAGCACUCUCUGGAUGUGCUGCACCGAUGACCCAGGAGUCUAAGAGCACCAGGACAGGAUGUUCGGUUGGCACUGCCACUACCCCAGAUAUAAUCUAAUAGGUCCCAGGCAGCACCUGCCGCUGGCAGGAGGGGAAGCCGAGAAGACUGACGUUGCCUGUCCACUUGUAUCUGCUUGUCACGUCUGACCAAUAAUAGCUGAACAACCACUCAGGGCCCCUUGAGUAGGAAUGGGAGUAUAUACUUGUCAGAGAGGCGUGCAAAGACUGAGAAAAAGAGAAUUGCAACCUGACAUUCGUAGGGCUAUGGUGUUCAACUCCUACAAUGCUCUUCUCAAAGAGUUUUUCACUCAAAUUUUCCACCUUGCAAUUGGUCUGACAAUGUGGAAAAUAUAUUUUUAAGCCUUUUUUUUUUUUUAAAAAAAAAAAGGUACUUCCCUAUAUGUCUAUUUCUUCAUCUGCAAAAGGAAGGGGCCUGGCAAAUGAACUCUAACGUUCUUUCCAGGUUUGAAAAAUCAUGGGAUUCCUCCCUUCAAGGGCCCCACUGAAGUCUCAGCUCCUCCUGAAGGGUUCUGCUCUGGAAAUCCUGCCAGCAUGAAUCUCUCCCUUAGCUUCUAUUAUCUCUACUGUCCAUUAAAACAAAACAAUCUAUCAUACAGAAUAAUAAAACAAGUAUACAGAAUAAUAAAGGUAUACAAAAUAAUAAAACAAAUAUCCAUGUAUCCACCACUCAGUCUAAGAAAUAAUGUGUUCCCAAUGUUUUCAAGGUCCCAAUCGCAUCUCUUUCACCCCCAGCAUAACCACUAUCUUGAAUUUUGUUAAUUAUUCUCUUUUUAUUACUUCCUUGCUUUUCUUAAUAGUUUUACAACAUAUAUAUAUAUAUAUAUAU